GACGAACGCUGGCGGCGUGGAUUAGGCAUGCAAGUCGGACGGUAGGGCUUUAUCGUAAGAUAGAGUUUGAGAGUGGCGAACGGGUGAGUAACACGUAGGAAUCUACCCUUAAGACGGGGACAACCCAGGGAAACUUGGGCUAAUACCGGAUGAGAGUGCGAGAGAUUGCAUUUAAAAGGAUGGCGAAAGUUGUCGCUUAGGGAUGAGCCUGCGGUCUAUUAGUUAGUUGGUGAGGUAAGAGCUCACCAAGGCGAUGAUAGAUAGGCGGCCUUAACGGGUGGUCGCCCACACUGGGAUUGAGAUACGGGUCCCACUCCUACGGGAGGCAGCAGGCUAGAAAUUUGGGCAAUGGGGGAAACCCUGACCCAGUGACGCCGCGUGCAGGAAGGAGCCCUUCGGGGUGUAAACUGCUGUCGUGUAGGGAGAAGGGUACUAAGGUGAACAAUCUUAGUACUUGACGGUACUACAGGAGGAAGCCCAGGCUAACCUCGUGCCAGCAGCCGCGGUAAAGCUACGUA
rnacentral:rRNA from 1 species